ensembl:lncRNA
GGAAGAACCUUGUUAAAUGGACAGGGAUAACUACUGGAGGUGACAGAAGACACGUGCAGGUUUCAGGAAGGACAGCAGAACUGCCGGUAAAUACGAACCUACCCUUCCCAUUGCAGGUUCGGCGUUUGUGCCCUACCCUUGCCUGCCCAGCCUUCCUUCCCCCUCACACUCGCUGCUACCCACUGACCGAGGCGCUGAGCAGAAGUAGCAAUUGCUUACCGGCCUGCAGCCCGGCCCCGAGGCUCCCAGCCCUGCCAGCCCCGGCCCACCACACUCCUCUUGCCGGGGCACCUCUCUAAUCACCCCCCAGCCCGGGGAGGGAGCACUGACUGGGGUGGCCCGGCCGCAGGGUGAAGUCACCCGGUGACCCUGUCACCAAAAGGCCUCACCGUUUUUGGCAAGCCCAGCAGAACAGGGAUUCCCAACUGCUCAGCUCCUUCCAAGGCAAAGCUCCCUGGCUGGGAAAGGCCUCUGGUACAGUGUAUCCCACUGUCACCGCUUCAGAGCGAUCCACUGAGCUGGGAUUGGAACACACUGUGGAAGUGAUCCCACUCCUGACACCCUGCCAGCUAUCACAAGAUGCACAUUCACAGCUGCAAUAUAAUGUGGUUUCACUGAAGUCAGUAAUCUUAGGACCAGAUUCUCAAACCGAGAUCCAGCAGACAUUUGCAGGAAACAUAUCCCCUGUCUUGUAGAGCUCAUAGUCCUCAAUCCUUUCUGGAGGAGACUUCCUCUCCUACCAGCAAGGAUCAACUGCCGACAUCACCUGCUACUUUUCCUCCAUGCCUUAAGUGCUCAUCUCAACGCAGAACACAUCAAUUCCCAGAUCUGGAAGUCUUAAGCCCUCAGUUCUCGCUUAUUAGGGCUCCUAAUCACUGGGCUGUUCUCAUGGGGAAAAAUCCCCACCCCACCCCUCCUUUGAAGGCAUUUCACUUUGCAUAAAAAUGCACUAGGCCGGGGGAAGGAGAAGGAAGGAACGAGACUAUUAAGUCUGCUGGUUGCGGUGCUUGCCAAAGCCUGGAGCUCCCAUCUCCCAGUCAGCGCUCAGAAGCAGAUUUAAUCAGGUUCCCACCAAGUCUUCCUUCACUCAAGAGAAAAAACGUUCUGCACGAAAAAGAGGCUGACCAUGUGGUGACAAAGCAGUAGGAUAAGAGGAUGGCCAAUUGGAAAAGAGGCACCUGGGCAUCUGUUGCACCAAAUACAGCAUGUUGUGUGAUGAAAAGAUGGUCGCUCUUCAAAAGAAGAAGUUCCAGUAUUUGCUAAAACAGUUCUAUACAGGUUAAUACUCGAAUAUCUGUAGUAGGCCUUGCCAGGGGAAGUUUCCAGGAACAGUACUAAAUUUAUGAUGAAUGGCAACAGAUGGUCAUUGGAAAUAGUAACUUAAGGAAACGUGAUAUGACUACG